GACCUCUCGGGGUUACAGCCUUGCUGAAUUAUUCACCCUUGUCUUUUGCGUACUUCUUGUUUCCUUGGUGGGUUCGCCCACCACUAGGACAAACAUAAACCUUUUGUAAUUGCAAUCAGCGUCAGUAACAAAUUAAUAAUUACAACUUUCAACAACGGAUCUCUUGGUUCUGGCAUCGAUGAAGAACGCAGCGAAAUGCGAUAAGUAGUGUGAAUUGCAGAAUUCAGUGAAUCAUCGAAUCUUUGAACGCACAUUGCGCCCUUUGGUAUUCCAAAGGGCAUGCCUGUUCGAGCGUCAUUUGUACCCUCAAGCUUUGCUUGGUGUUGGGCGUCUUGUCUCUAGCUUUGCUGGAGACUCGCCUUAAAGUAAUUGGCAGCCGGCCUACUGGUUUCGGAGCGCAGCACAAGUCGCACUCUCUAUCAGCAAAGGUCUAGCAUCCAUUAAGCCUUUUUUUCAACUUUUGACCUCGGAUCAGGUAGGGAUACCCGCUGAACUUAAGCAUAUCAAUAAGCGGAGGAAAAGAAACCAACAGGGAUUGCCCUAGUAACGGCGAGUGAAGCGGCAACAGCUCAAAUUUGAAAUCUGGCUCUUUUAGAGUCCGAGUUGUAAUUUGCAGAGGGCGCUUUGGCUUUGGCAGCGGUCCAAGUUCCUUGGAACAGGACGUCACAGAGGGUGAGAAUCCCGUACGUGGUCGCUGGCUAUUGCCGUGUAAAGCCCCUUCGACGAGUCGAGUUGUUUGGGAAUGCAGCUCUAAAUGGGAGGUACAUUUCUUCUAAAGCUAAAUAUUGGCCAGAGACCGAUAGCGCACAAGUAGAGUGAUCGAAAGAUGAAAAGCACUUUGGAAAGAGAGUCAAACAGCACGUGAAAUUGUUGAAAGGGAAGCGCUUGCAGCCAGACUUGCUUACAGUUGCUCAUCCGGGUUUCUACCCGGUGCACUCUUCUGUAGGCAGGCCAGCAUCAGUUUGGGCGGUAGGAUAAAGGUCUCUGUCACGUACCUCCUUUCGGGGAGGCCUUA
rnacentral:rRNA from 1 species